CCCUUAGAUGUCCUGGGCCGCACGCGCGCUACACUGACAUGUUCAACAAGCCUCCUAGUUCGACAGGAUUUGGGAAAUCUUUGAACGCAUGUCGUGAUAGGGAUAGAUCAUUGCAAUUAUUGAUCCUGAACGAGGAAUUCCUAGUAAACGCGAGUCAUCAGCUCGCAUUGAUUACGUCCCUGCCCUUUGUACACACCGCCCGUCGCACCUACCGAUUGAAUGUUUCGGUGAAGAUUCCGGAUAGGACUUUUUUGAUUUAUUUCAAUUUUGUCUUAAAAGCUAUCUAAACCUCAACAUUUAGAGGAAGGUGAAGUCGUAACA
rnacentral:rRNA from 1 species